GCAUCAAUAUGGUGACCUCCCAAGAGCGGGGGACCACCAGGUUGCCUAAGGAGGGGUGAACUGGCCCAGGUUGGAAACAGAGCAGGUCAAAACUCCUGUGC
ensembl:misc_RNA Metazoa_SRP Metazoan signal recognition particle RNA